rnacentral:sRNA from 1 species
AGUGUGGUUGAGUAGAGUAAUCUAGGCAUGGUUCAGUUUUAUUUCAAAUUCAUUGACUAUGCAACAGACAACUAGCAACGAGGGCACUGAGUUUAUCUGGUGAACCAAAAUGCUUACAAGACUAUCUCAUCAUUAUCCCCUAUGCAUAUGUAACAAUCCUAAAUGAAAC